CAGCAGCCGCGGGAAUACAGAGGAUGCAAGCGUUAUCCGGAAUGAUUGGGCGUAAAGCGUCUGUAGGUGGCUUUUCAAGUCCGCCGUCAAAUCCCAGGGCUCAACCCUGGACAGGCGGUGGAAACUACCAAGCUGGAGUACGGCAGGGGCAGAAGGAAUUUCCGGUGGAGCGGUGAAAUGCGUUGAGAUCGGAAAGGACACCAACGGCGAAAGCACUCUGCUGGGCCGACACUGACACUGAGAGACGAAAGCUAGGGGAGCAAAUGGGAUUAGAUACCCAGUAGUCCCUGUCUCUUAUACA
rnacentral:rRNA from 1 species